GAUGAACGCUGGCGGCGUGCCUAAUACAUGCAAGUCGAGCGAACCACUUCGGUGGUGAGCGGCGAACGGGUGAGUAACACGUAGGUGAUCUGCCCAUCAGACGGGGACAACGAUUGGAAACGAUCGCUAAUACCGGAUAGGACGAAAGUUUAAAGGUGCUUCUGGCACCGCUGAUGGAUGAGCCUGCGGCGCAUUAGCGAGUUGGUAGGGUAAAGGCCUACCAAGGCGACGAUGCGUAGCCGACCCGAGAGGGUGAACGGACACACUGGGACUGAGACACGGCCCAGACUCCGACGGGAGGCAGCAGUAGGGAAUCUUCGGCAAUGGGCGAAAGCCUGACCGAGCAACGCCGCGUGAAUGAUGAAGGCCUUCGGGUUGUAAAAUUCUGUUAUAAGGGAAGAACGACUUUAGUAGGAAAUGGCUAGAGUGUGACGGUACCUUAUGAGAAAGCCACGGCUAACUACGUGCCAGCCGCCGCAGUAAAAC
rnacentral:rRNA from 1 species